GAUGAACGCUGGCGGCGUGCCUAAUACAUGCAAGUCGAGCGAACGGACGAGAAGCUUGCUUCUCUGAUGUUAGCGGCGGACGGGUGAGUAACACGUGGAUAACCUACCUAUAAGACUGGGAUAACUUCGGGAGACCGGAGCUAAUACCGGAUAAUAUUUUGAACCGCAUGGUUCAAAAGUGAAAGACGGUCCUGCUGUCACUUAUAGAUGGAUCCGCGCUGCAUUAGCUAGUUGGUAAGGUAACGGCUUACCAAGGCAACGAUGCAUAGCCGACCUGAGAGGGUGAUCGGCCACACUGGAACUGAGACACGGUCCAGACUCCUACGGGAGGCAGCAGUAGGGAAUCUUCCGCAAUGGGCGAAAGCCUGACGGAGCAACGCCGCGUGAGUGAUGAAGGUCUUCGGAUCGUAAAACUCUGUUAUUAGGGAAGAACAUAUGUGUAAGUAACUGUGCACAUCUUGACGGUACCUAAUCAGAAAGCCACGGCUAACUACGUG
rnacentral:rRNA from 1 species